UACGAAGGGGGCUAGCGUUGUUCGGCAUUACUGGGUGUAAAGCGCACGUCGGCGGAUUAGUAAGUCAGGGGUGAAAUCCCGGGGCUCAACCUCGGAACUGCCUUUGAUACUGCUGAUCUCGAGUCUGGAAGAGGUGAGUGGAAUUCCUAGUGUAGAGGUGAAAUUCGUAGAUAUUAGGAAGAACACCAGUGGCGAAGGCGGCUCACUGGUCCGGUACUGACGCUGAGGUGCGAAAGCGUGGGGAGCAAACAGG
rnacentral:rRNA from 1 species